CCUACGGGUGGCAGCAGUGGGGAAUAUUGGGCAAUGGGCGCAAGCCUGACCCAGCAACGCCGCGUGAAGGAAGAAGGCUUUCGGGUUGUAAACUUCUUUUGACAGGGAAGAGUAGAAGACGGUACCUGUCGAAUAAGCCACGGCUAACUACGUGCCAGCAGCCGCGGUAAUACGUAGGUGGCAAGCGUUGUCCGGAUUUACUGGGUGUAAAGGGCGUGUAGCCGGGUUGACAAGUCAGAUGUGAAAUCCUGCGGCUUAACCGCGGAACUGCUUUGGAAACUGUAUAGCUUGAGUACUGGAGAGGCAGGCGGAAUUCCUAGUGUAGCGGUGAAAUGCGUAGAUAUUAGGAGGAACACCAGUGGCGAAGGCGGCCUGCUGGACAGAAACUGACGUUGAGGCUCGAAAGCGUGGGGAGCAAACAGGAUUAGAUACCCGUGUAGUC
rnacentral:rRNA from 1 species